AUUUUAUUUUGCAAAAUUUUAAAAUUCAUAUAUUUAAAAUUUAAAUCUAUAAUACUGAAUUAAUUUUACCAAUCAGGCUUUACUAUUAAAAAACCUACAGAAAAAACCUACACCUACAGCAAACACAGUUACAGCAAAAUAAUUACAGCGAAAAUUUUACUUCUACAGCCAAACCAAUCACCCACAAUAUUACAAUAAAAAAAUAUAGAAUAUACUUAAGCAAAAUAAAAUUUAAAAUUGAAAAACAGAAAAAAAACAUGAUGAUAUAAAUAAUUUAGUCGCUUGUAGUAAAUUACUUUGGCCUUAUUUUUGCCAAAUAUGUUCAAUCAAAUCUUUUUUCAAUUGUCGAUGUGUUUGUUCAUGAUGUAUUUGAGCUCGAUUGGCCAUCAAAUUGUUCACAUUUGUAGUUGUGUCUGUAGAAAAAGAGUUGUCUACUUGAGAAGUCCCGCUUCCUUCGCCUUCUACGAAAUCAGAUAAAUCAAACUGAGUAUAUUCGUCUCGUUUAUCUUCUAUAAUCAUAUUGUGCAAUAUGAUACAUGCUCUCAUUAUUUUGCCCAUUCCCUCUUUAUCCCAAAACAGACCUAGGUUUCAAAUAAUAGCAAACUGAGCCUGCAAGACUCCAAAAGCACGUUCGACAUCUUUUCUCACUGCUUCUUGACAACUAGCAAAUAAUGAUGCUUUCGGUCCUCGUGGACGGGUAAUUGAUUGGAUGAAUGUUCCCCACUUCGGAUAUAUAUCAUAUGUGAGGUAAUAACCCAUUUUGUUUUGAUGUCCAUUGAUUUCGUACUUGAGUCGUGGAGCUCGACCUUCUAAUAUAUCAUCAACCACCGGUGAGCGGUCAAGAACAUUUAUAUCAUUACACGUACUUGAACCCCAAAAAAAGCAUGUCAAAUCCAUAGAUCUUGAAAUGUCACGGCCUCUAAAAUAAUAGUGGAUUUUCCAUGUCCGCGUGAAUACUGCCCUUUCCAAGCUGUAGUACAAUUAUUCCACUCCUAAUGCAUACAGUCAAUGCUUCCUACCAUUCCCGGAAAACCGCGUUCUUUUCCAAAAUGAAGUAACCGUUCUAGAUCCUCACGUGUAGGUCGCCUCAAAUAUUCAUCUUGGAAUAAAUUUAUUAUGCCAUCUACAAAAUUCUCUAGUGCUUGACUCAUAGUGGUUGCGCCCAUGCGGAGGUAUGCGUUCAUCACAUUGUUUGCAAGACCAUAUGCCAGACGCCUAAUUGCGGUAGUACAUUUCUGUAGGGCGGAUAGACCUUGCUUCCCAGUAGCAUCGUCCCUUUGUUGGAAAUAUGAAAAUUGAGAAAGACUUUGAACAAUACGAAGGAACAACGGCCUCGUCAUUCGAAAGCGUCGUCGAAACAUGCGAUCAUGGUAAAUGGGGUCUUCCGAAAAUUAAUCGUUGCAUAAUCGAAUAUGACUUUCUUCGUGAUCUCUCUCUAUAUUAGCAUCCCUUUUUUUUCCUUUUUUUCGCCGCUACACGUCUACUAAAAUUAUCUAAACCAUCUUCAAAACAUUUUUCAAACAUCUCCUCCAACGUAUCAUCAUCAUGAGAAUGUGAUGCCAUUAUUAUUCAAAAGAGAAUUGGGUUUGAGAAGAAAAACAAUUAAAAGAGAAUUGGAUUUGUGAAGGAAAACAAUUAAAAGAGUCUUGUGGUUUGUAAAUGAAAAUAAAGUCUUUGUUUGAGAAUAAUUGUAAUGAAGAAUUGUAAUGAAAAUAUGAGAAGAGGAAGAAUCGUUUGAAUGGAUUUCAAUAUGAGAAGAAAGACAUAUAUAUAAGAGAAUUGUACAAAUACAUUGAGAAGGAAAAGAAAGACCAUAGAAAGUAAAAACAAGUGGCUUCUGACCAUAAAAACAUUCAUAUGUCAUGUGCUACUAAAAAACAAACAACUAGUAGCCCUACAUUACAUCCAAAACAACUACUAAAAACAAAAACAAGGUACAUCCGAAUAUAUUACACAACCCUACAUUCAAGCAUCAAUACCCCACAUCUCCUUUCCUUGCCGACAUCACUAGCUUCCAAGAGGAAGUCUUGCACAUAAAAAAGCAAAGAAUAUAAAAUAAUAAUAAAUGUUAAGUUAACAAAAGAACUGAACUAACAACACAUACCUAAAGACCAGAAUAUUCAUUCUCAGAAACAAACACAUUGCUUCCAGAAAGAUACUCUUGGAUAAGAGAAUUUUUAAUUUGAAUUUCCAUAUCACUCAAUCCAUUAGACCUAUUAAGUAGGCUGUCAAGUAGCUUAUGUUUGGAGAGUCUCUCUUUGACAGUCAAAUCCUUCUCUUUCACUUCCCACAUACGCUGAAGUUAAUCAGCAGAACCAGCGUCAGCUCCUCCUUCACUCUUUCCCUUACCUUUUGACUUGGCUGAAGCCUUGGCUGCCUUCACACCUAUAGGCCUUUUAAGACUUUCUUGUUCUACAGAUGAAAGUUUAGCUUUCUUCUUGGCAGAAACUUUGAUCAGUCUUGAGGAUUCUCCAAACAUGCUCAAGGAUGAAUUUGUUUUUUUGAUCUUGAUGGUAAAGCUUGUAGGCAAGCACGAGAAUGUCAUAUUGAGUCUCUCCCCUGCGAGGAGUCCGACAGGCAAACUCAUAACAGCCUGCAAAGUUCAUGAUGAGCUGAGAGAAGAGAGAAGGUCGUUGAAGCGAAGACCGGAGAAGUGAGGCCCUCGAGGAGAUGCAAUGGAAGAGAUGAAGCAGGAGGAGAAGCAGAGGGAGUGAAGGCAAGAUCGAGAGGGAAAAUCGGCGGAGGAGAGUGAAAAUCGGCAGAGAGGGAAAAUCAGCGGAGGAGAGGGAAGUUCUAGGUUUUCUCGGGAGAGAGAGGUGAGAAAAACUGAAAGGUCUUUUUCCUCUGCUUUAGCCAAAACACGUUUCUAACAACAAUCAGCACGUGCCACGUCAUUUGUUAUUGGGUAUCAAAAAUAUCAAUCAAGUGCUAAGACUUAGACCCAAAAAUAUUGUUUUAUCCAUUUAAAAAUAUUUUUGGGCUUUUGAUACUAAAUAAAUAUCACCGCUGGGCAUGGUCUUAGGUUCACCAAAUAAGGGUGAACUCUUGUAUUCACUUUUUUUAUUUAUAAAAUUUUGAACACUUUUUCGACUCACCUUUAGGGUGAACCGAGCGAGAGGAAAAAUCGGCGGAGGAGAGGGAAGUUCUAGGUUUUCUCGGGAGAGAUAGGUGAGAAAAAAUGAAAGUUUUUUUUUUUCCUCUGUUUUAGCAAAAACGCGUUUCUAACAACAAUCAGCACGUGCCACAUCAUUUGUUAUUGGGUAUCAAAAAAUAUAAAUGAAGUGAUAUGGCUAAGACCCAAAAAUAUUGUUUGGUCCAUUUAAAAAUUUUUUUUGGGCUUCUAAUACUCAGAAAAUAUCACUGCUGGGCAUGGUCUUAGGUUCACCAAAUAGGGGUGAACUAUUGUAUUCACUUUUUAUUUAUAAAUUUUUGAAAACUUUUUUGACUCACCUUUAGGGUGAAGCGAUCGAGAGAAAAAAUCGGCGGGGGAGAGUGAAAAUAGGCGGAGAGGGAAAAUCGGCGGAGGAGAGGGAAGUUCUAGGUUUUCUCGGGAGAGAGAGGUGAUAAAAAAUGAAAGUUUUUUUUCUUCCUCUACUUUAGCCAAAACGCGUUUCUAACAACAAUCAGCACGCACCACGUCAUUUGUUAUUGGGUAUCAAAAAUAUCAAUCAAGUGAUACGGCUAAGACCCAAAAAUAUUGUUUUGUCCAUUUAAAAAUAUUUUUUGGGCUUCUGAUACUCAGAAAAUAUCACCGCUGGGCAUGGUCUUACGUUCACCAAAUAGGGCUGAACUCUUGUAUUCACUUUUUUUAUUGUUAAAUUUUUGAAAACUUUUUCGACUUCCCUUUGGGGUUAACCGAUCGAGAGGGAAAAUCAGCGGAGGAGAGUGAAAAUCGGCGGAGAGGGAAAAUCGGCGGAGGAGAGGGAAGUUCUAGGUUUUCUCGGGAGAGAGAGGUGAGAAAAAAUGAAAGUUUUUUUUUUCCUCUCAUUUAGCCAAAACCCGUUUCUAAUAACAAUCAGCACGUGUCACGUCAUUUGUUAUUGGUAUCAAAAAUAUCAAUCAAGUGAUAUGGCUCAGACCCAAAAAUAUUGUUUUGUCCAUUUAAAAAUAUUUUUUUGGCUUUUGAUACUAAAAAAAAAUCAUCGUUGGGUAUGGUCUUUGGUUCACCAAAUAGGGGUGAACUCUUAUAUUCAAUUUUUUUAUUUAUAAAUUUUUCAAAACUUUUUCAACUCACCUUUAGGGUGAACCGAUCGAGAGGAAAAAUCGUCGAGGGAGAGUGAAAAUCGGCGGAAAGGGAAAAUCGGCGGAGGACAGGGAAGUUCUAGGUUUUCUCAGGAGAGUGAGGUGAUAAAAAAUGAAAGUUUUUUUUUCCUCUGCUUUAACCAAAACGCGUUUCUAACAACCAUCAGCACUUGCCACGUCAUUUGUUAUUGGGUAUCAAAAAUAUCAAUUAAGUGAUACGGCUUAGACCCAACAAUAUUGUUUUAUCCAUUUAAAAAUACUUUUUGGGCUUCUGAUACUCAUAAAAUAUCACCGCUGGGCAUGGUCUUAGGUUCAACAAAUAGGGGUGAACUCUUGUAUUCAAUUUUUUUAUUUAUAAAUUUUUGAAAACUUUUUCGACUCACCUUUAGUGUGAACCAAUCAAAAUACAACAAUAUGUAAUAUCAUACUUUAUUUAAAAAUAAAUCAAAAUUAAAAUCAGAAAACAAAUAAGGAAAUAAAAUCUGUAUAUUUUGAAUUGAAAAUGGUUAAGUAUCAGUUUGUGUUUAUAAAUAAGAAUUUGGGUUUAGAUUUGAUAAUUAAACAAAAUUAAAUAUCGGUUUGGGUUUAUAAAAACGUAUUUAGAGUUUAGAUUUUACUAUUAAACAAAAUUAUAUGUUGGUUUGGGUUUAUAAAAUAGUAUAUAGGGUUUAGAUUUUACAAUUAAACAAAAUCAUAUGUCGGUUUAGGUUUAUAAAAGAGUGGUUAGGGUUUAAAAAUUUAGAAUUAAAUGAAAUUAGAUAUCAGUUUGGAUUUAAUGAAAAUUGUUUAGGGUUUACAUUUUACAAUAAAACAAAAUUAUAUGUCAAUUGGGUUUAUAAAAAUAAGGUUUAGGGUUUUACAUUUUAUAAUU
rnacentral:sRNA from 1 species